CAUGCCUACGGGGCGCAGCAGUGAGGAAUAUUGGUCAAUGGGCGGGAGCCUGAACCAGCCAAGCCGCGUGAGGGAAGAAGGUACAGCGUAUCGUAAACCUCUUUUGUCAGGGAACAAAGGCGGGGACUAGUCCCCGGAUGAGGGUACCUGAAGAAAAAGCAUCGGCUAACUCCGUGCCAGCAGCCGCGGUAAUACGGAGGAUGCGAGCGUUAUCCGGAAUGAUUGGGCGUAAAGGGUGCGCAGGCGGUUGUAUAAGUCUGGAGUAAAAGCCAACGG
rnacentral:rRNA from 1 species